CCUACGGGGGGCAGCAGUGAGGAAUAUUGGUCAAUGGACGAGAGUCUGAACCAGCCAAGUAGCGUGAAGGAUGACUGCCCUAUGGGUUGUAAACUUCUUUUAUAUGGGAAUAAAAUGUUCCACGUGUGGGAUUUUGUAUGUACCAUAUGAAUAAGGAUCGGCUAACUCCGUGCCAGCAGCCACGGUAAUACGGAGGAUCCGAGCGUUCUCCGGAUUUAUUGGGUUUAAAGGGAGCGUAGUUGGAAUGUUAAGUCAGUUGUGAAAGUUUGCGGCUCAACCGUAAAAUUGCAGUUGAUACUGGCAGUCUUGAGUACAGUAGAGGUGGGCGGAAUUCGUGGUGUAGCGGUGAAAUGCUUAGAUAUCACGAAGAACUCCGAUUGCGAAGGCAGUUCACUGGACUGCAACUGACACUGAGGCGCGAAAGUGUGGGUAGCAAACAGGAUUAGAUACCCUUGUAGUC
rnacentral:rRNA from 1 species